CCCUUAGAUGUUCUGGGCCGCACGCGCGCUACACUGAUGCAUUCAACGAGCCUAGCCUUGACCGAGAGGCCCGGGUAAUCUUUGAAACUGCAUCGUGAUGGGGCUAGAUUAUUGCAAUUAUUAAUCUUCAACGAGGAAUGCCUAGUAAGCGUGAUUCAUCAAAUCGCGUUGAUUACGUCCCUGCCCUUUGUACACACCGCCCGUCGCUCCUACCGAUUGAGUGUGUUGGUGAGGAGUUCGGAUUGGCUCUUAGUGGUGGUUCGCCACCACCUAGAGCUGAGAAGUUCUCCAAACCGCCCCACUUAGAGGAAGGAGAAGUCGUAACA
rnacentral:rRNA from 1 species